rnacentral:rRNA from 1 species
GGUUGAGCUAGUAAGAGCACGGGGGGAAUGCCUUGGCGUCAAGAGCCGAAGAAGGGCGUGGCAAGACUACGAAAAGCCUCGGUGAGCUGUCCAGCGAGCCUAGCCGGGGAUUCCCAAAUGGGGCAACCCGCCCUGGUAAAACCAGGGCAUCCCUGUUUAGAGCAGGGGGGGGUACCGGGGGAACUGAAACAUCUUAGUACCCCGAGGAAAAGAGAAGAUUCCCUUAGUAGUGGCGAACGAAAAGGGAAAAGCCCAAACCGGACCAACUUAGUGGACUAAGAGCCUAUGUUGUUUCGGGGUAGUAAGACAAGUCACGGGAGGGUCUUAGACCUCCCAGGAAGUAAAAAACCUGUUUGUUAGUCAAAGGAACCUGGAAAGGACCACCAAAGAGAGUGAAAGUCUCGUAGAUGAAAACAAGCAGGCUUCCGGAUUUGUUCUUAAGUACCACGGGACACGUGAAAUCCCGUGGGAAGCAGCCCUGACCACAGGGCAAGGCUAAAUACUCUUGACGACCGAUAGUGAACCAGUACCGUGAGGGAAAGGUAAAAAGAACCCCGGAAGGGGAGUGAAAUAGAUCCUGAAACCUCGUGCUUACAAGCAGUCAGAGGUUCGAUGCAAAUCGGACUGAUGGCGUGCCUAUUGAAGAAUGACCCAGCGAGUUAAUCUUGGUAGCAAGGUUAAGUUCUGUAAGGAGCGGAGCCGUAGCGAAAGCGAGUCUGAAUAGGGCGUUUAGUUGCCAGGAUUAGACCCGAAACCGGGUGAGCCACCCAUGGUCAGGGUGAAGCCCCGAUAAAACGGGGUGGAGGUCCGAACCCAUCAGCGUUGCAAAGCUGUGGGAUGAACUGUGGGUAGAGGUGAAAUGCCAAACGAACUCGGAUAUAGCUGGUACUCCCCGAAAUGUAUUGAGGUACAGCCUCGGGAAUUAAACAGUGGAGGUAGAGCACUGGAUGAGGAAGGGGGCGAGUAGCUUACCGACCUCAACCAAACUGCGAAUGCCACUGUUGCAGACCCCGGGAGUGAGACUGUGGGGGAUAAGCUUCAUAGUCAAAAGGGAAACAGCCCAGACCCUCAGCUAAGGUCCCUAAGAGUGGGCUAAGUGGGAAAGGAAGUAGCAGCGCACAGACAGCCAGGAUGUUGGCUUAGAAGCAGCCACCAUUUAAAGAGUGCGUAACAGCUCACUGGUCGAGUGAAGCUGCGCCGACAAUCCAGCGGGGCUAAAGUCCGCCACCGAAGCUAGGGAUCCUGACAUAUUAGCAAUAAUACGUUGGGGUGGUAGGGGAGCAUUGUCCAGACACUGAAGCUAAGCUGUAAGGCUUGGUGGAGUCUGGAGAAGAGAGAAUGCUGGGAUGAGUAGCGCAACCUUGAAGAGAAAGCGAGGCACCGAAUGCCUGAGGUUUCCUACGGAAGGUUAAUCCGCGUAGGGUUAGUCGGGCCUAAGCUGAACCCUGGGAAACAGGGGUAGGCGAUGGACAACAGGUUAGUAGUCCUGUACCGCUUUUUUACCGUUUGAGACAAAGGGGGGACGCAGGAAGGGAGGUUGAGCGCACCCAUUGGACAUGGUGCGUUGCCGUACUCGAGGGAGCCGGAGCAGGCAAAUCCACUCCGGUGUUUAACUGAGGGUAUGGCAGAAGUUAAGGGGCAACCCGAUGCGACUCAGCUGCACCUAAGCUGCCAAGAAAAGCCUCGUUGUCAAGGUAAAGGAGCGACCGUACCGCAAACCGACACUGGUAGGCACUCCUGAAAGGGAGAAGGUGAUCGAGAUAACCCUCGUUAAGGAACUCGGCAAUUUAACCCCGUAACUUCGGGAUAAGGGGUUCCCGGUGAUAAACCGGGACACAGAAACAGGCCCAAGCGACUGUUUAACAAAAACACAGGUCUCUGCUAAAGCGUAAGCUUAGGUAUAGGGGCUGACACCUGCCCAGUGCCGGAAGGUUAAAGGGAGAGGUCAACCGUAAGGUGAAGCUUUGAACUGAAGCCCCGGUGAACGGCGGCCGUAACUAUAACGGUCCUAAGGUAGCGAAGUCCCUUGUCGGGUAAGUUCCGACCCGCACGAAAGGUGUAACGACUUGGGCGCUGUCUCAACGAGGGACUCGGCGAAAUUGAAAUACCCGUGAAGAUGCGGGUUACCCGCGACGGGACAAAAAGACCCCGUGGAGCUUUACUACAACUUGGCACUGGAUCGAGGCUAGUCAUGUGUAGGAUAGGUGGGAGGCUUUGAAGCCCCGGCGCUAGCCGGGGUGGAGCCGACGUUGAAAUACCACCCUUGAGUAGUUUUGUUUCUAACCUGCUGUUGUCAGGGACCGUGCCAGGCGGGUAGUUUGACUGGGGCGGUCGCCUCCCAAAAUGUAACGGAGGCGUCCAAAGGUUCCCUCAAGGUGAAUGGAAACCACCUGUUGAGUAUAUUGGCUUAAGGGAGCUUGACUGGAAGACCAACAAGUCAACCAGGGACGAAAGUCGGGCAAAGUGAUCCUACGGUACCGAGUGGAAGGGCCGUGGCUUAUCGGAUAAAAGCUACCCCGGGGAUAACAGGCUUAUCUUGCCCAAGAGUUCAUAUCGACGGCAAGGUUUGGCACCUCGAUGUCGGCUCGUCGCAUCCUGGGGCUGGAGCAGGUCCCAAGGGUCCGGCUGUUCGCCGGUUAAAGCGGCACGCGAGCUGGGUUCAGACCGUCGUGAGACAGGUCGGUCUCUAUCCGUCGUGGGCGCAGGAGAUUUGAGGGGAGCUCCCUUUAGUACGAGAGGACCAAGGGGGACAGACCUCUGGUGUGCCAGUUGUCCCGCCAGGGGCACAGCUGGGUAGCUACGUCUGGAUGGGAUAAGCGCUGAAAGCAUCUAAGUGCGAAGCCCACCCCAAGAUUAGAUCUCCGCUCCGAGCAAUCGGAGGAAGACCCCCUGUAGACUACAGGGUAGAUAGGCGGCAGGUGUAAGGGCCGUAAGGCCUUCAGCUGAGCCGUACUAAUGGUCAAUCGCUCAACCUG